AGUGAACGCUGGCGGUAGGCCUAACACAUGCAAGUCGAACGGCAGCACAGUAAGAGCUUGCUCUUACGGGUGGCGAGUGGCGGACGGGUGAGGAAUACAUCGGAAUCUACUUUUUCGUGGGGGAUAACGUAGGAAACUUACGCUAAUACCGCAUACGACCUACGGGUGAAAGCAGGGGAUCUUCGGACCUUGCGCGAUUGAAUGAGCCGAUGUCGGAUUAGCUAGUUGGCGGGGUAAAGGCCCACCAAGGCGACGAUCCGUAGCUGGUCUGAGAGGAUGAUCAGCCACACUGGAACUGAGACACGGUCCAGACUCCUACGGGAGGCAGCAGUGGGGAAUAUUGGACAAUGGGCGCAAGCCUGAUCCAGCAAUACCGCGUGGGUGAAGAAGGCCUUCGGGUUGUAAAGCCCUUUUGUUGGGAAAGAAAAGCAGCAGGUUAAUACCCCGAUGUUCUGACGGUACCCAAAGAAUAAGCACGGGCUAACUUCGUG
rnacentral:rRNA from 1 species